rnacentral:lncRNA from 1 species
AUUUUCUUUUCCCCCGUCUCUCCAGGAUCCAAGGCACAUGAGAGCUGAGCAUUUUCUAGGUGACGUACGGGCUUACGUGGGAGUUCAUGCCCAGCACCGCUCUCCGAGCGCCUUUUCUCCUGAAAUGCCAUUUCGCUGCAGUUCGCACCCCCCUUUCCAGGCUGGGAGGAGUGGACGGGCGGGAGGAAAAAAGGAAGAGAAAAGCAGCCCCCUGUUUUCCUGCUCGGGACCCGAGCCCCGGAGCUCGGAAAACAUGACUGCGCGUUUGUGGAGCAGGAUGCCUUGGGAAGGGCAGGGAAGUCUCCACCUGAGCAAGGAGAGGGUAUGCACAGGCUAAGAUUGUCCAGAGUGGAAGAGAGUCAGUGAGCGCUGGUGUUUUGAAGCAGAGAAGUAGACAUGAGAUGCCUGAGCUCCCAGCUCACCCGGCGCCUGGUGCCCCGGGAGAUCGCAGUUCUGCAGCUCCAUCUGGAUCCCAGUGAGAGGAGAAGGGACCUUUCAAGCUUUUGAGUUCUUGUCACUGUUGGUUAUCACCUGCCUGGACUUGCUGCCUGACAUCUCCAGACUUCUCCAAGAAGGUCCAGUCUGCGUCUCCGAUGGCCCCAGAGAAGAGGUGGCUUUUGCUCAUGAAUACAGAGGGUUUCUGCGUUGCUUCCCAUCCCAUCGGUCCACCCUUGGGGAGGCAGCCAGCAAAAUCCAGGGAGCCAGGGGAAAAUCCUAUGUAACUCCUGUAUGUUGUGGCUGUCUUUGGUGCCCUAAAUACUCCUGGGCAGGAGUGUCCUCUGCUUGGGCAGAGAGAUCUAAGCAAGCCACUGUCUCAACUAGCAAAAUACUGUGUGCUUGAAGGUUAGAGAGAGCAGGCAGGAAAUCUGAGCUGGUGGAGUGUUGUUUUGUAGCACCGGGGAACAUGCAGGUUGGGCUUUGAUCACGGAGUGCAGCCAUCCUGGUGGGGCUGUGUGUAUAAAGCCUGCCGGACUGCACAUCUCUCCAGGCUGGACAUCCCUGCUGCUCUUUUUGCACUUGUCUCUGUUCCUGUAAGAGAAAUGUACUGGCUGUAAUUCCUUUCCAUUAAAAUCACCCCCCACCCAAUGCACUGUUGAAAAUAAAUACUCUUUUACAAAAAUGAGCCGUGUGAUU